rnacentral:lncRNA from 1 species
CUGCAAUCCUACUCUUUGCUACGAGUCACAGUCUGUGUUUGUUUCUGAGGGAUCUUUCCUGUGUUGCAAGAUGGGAACCAGCAGAGAUAAUUCAAAGAAUCCAAGUUCUCCACAGCAGCUGCUUUCACAAACUCAAGAUGUGAAGAUUUAAGAUGGUUAACUCUGCUAUGGAAAGGGAGCCAUUUAAGCAAAGGACUGUACCAUCUGGAGUGAUCUUCAGUCUCAGCCAUUUCUUUAGCUCCAACUCUUUAGUUCAUUCUUGGAGCUCCAGAAGUGCAGAGCACUUGGACUGUGGGACUUCUGUGCCUCUGUCAAUGAUCACAUACAGAUGGUAUGAAAACACAGAGAUCCAGCGGGUUCCCAUGGCAUUGAGACAAAAUUACGUGGAGUGGAGAAUUCCUUCUGAGAGACUAAAAAACAUGGAGAUGUUAUGGAUGAACGAGGCCAGACUUUCUUCAGAGGAAAAGGCUCUUGUUUAUUUAAAAAGAGCUACAGGAGAUGGAAGGCCUGAGAUAGGCUCAGACCCCCAUGCAACAAGUAAAAAAACCCAAAAACAGUGUGUCUACCCCACAUGCACACUGGGUUCUCCAGGAAGCAUUCCUGUUUUGAGGAACUCAAGUUCCCCAAAAGAGCUCCAAACUCCACCGAACUCCCAUUUUUACAACGCCCUUUGGGUCCAGGAUUGGUGA